rnacentral:rRNA from 1 species
CCUACGGGAGGCAGCAGUGGGGAAUUUUGGACAAUGGGCGCAAGCCUGAUCCAGCAAUGCCGCGUGAGUGAAGAAGGCCUUCGGGUUGUAAAGCUCUUUUGUCAGGGAAGAAACGGUGGGGGCUAAUAUCUCCUACUAAUGACGGUACCUGAAGAAUAAGCACCGGCUAACUACGUGCCAGCAGCCGCGGUAAUACGUAGGGUGCAAGCGUUAAUCGGAAUUACUGGGCGUAAAGCGUGCGCAGGCGGUUUUGUAAGUCUGUCGUGAAAGCCCCGGGCUCAACCUGGGAAUUGCGAUGGAGACUGCAAGGCUUGAAUCUGGCAGAGGGGGGUAGAAUUCCACGUGUAGCAGUGAAAUGCGUAGAGAUGUGGAGGAACACCGAUGGCGAAGGCAGCCCCCUGGGUCAAGAUUGACGCUCAUGCACGAAAGCGUGGGGAGCAAACAGGAUUAGAUACCCUGGUAGUCCACGCCCUAAACGAUGUCUACUAGUUGUCGGGUUUUAAUUAACUUGGUAACGCAGCUAACGCGUGAAGUAGACCGCCUGGGGAGUCGGUCGCAAGNUUAAAACUCAAAUGAAUUGAGCGNGAGAGNGCGAGACGACGACGAGGAGGAGG